GAGAACCAGCGUGUGGCAGAGGCCUCUCGGAGAGCACUGUUUGGUGCAGCCAGGUUCCUGAAGUGGAGGGACCUUGAGCACUUGGUGACCAUGGAGCAGCCAUGGAGGUUUCCCGAGUGCCUGCUGGAAAAGGACAGGAGCCGAGUGGGCCAGUACGUGCGCCAGGCCCUGCCGUACCUGGAGAGCCCAGAGGAGCCCCUGCGAAAGCUGGCCAUCAAGUUUCUGGGGAUCGCCGCCAGGUCCAUGAAGCAGGAGCAGCCAGAGCUGCAGCUCAUCUGCCAAGGUGAGCGAGGGCACCUUCCAGCUCAUCCCCUUGG